rnacentral:rRNA from 1 species
UGGCGGCAGGCCUAACACAUGCAAGUCGAGCGGCAGCGACAUGAACAAUCCUUCGGGUGCGUUCAUGGGCGGCGAGCGGCGGACGGGUGAGUAAUGCCUGGGAAUAUGCCCUGAUGUGGGGGAUAACCAUUGGAAACGAUGGCUAAUACCGCAUAAUCUCUUCGGAGCAAAGAGGGGGACCUUCGGGCCUCUCGCGUCAGGAUUAGCCCAGGUGAGAUUAGCUAGUUGGUGGGGUAAGAGCUCACCAAGGCGACGAUCUCUAGCUGGUCUGAGAGGAUGAUCAGCCACACUGGAACUGAGACACGGUCCAGACUCCUACGGGAGGCAGCAGUGGGGAAUAUUGCACAAUGGGGGAAACCCUGAUGCAGCCAUGCCGCGUGUGUGAAGAAGGCCUUCGGGUUGUAAAGCACUUUCAGUCGUGAGGAAGGCAUAUGCGUUAAUAGCGCAUGUGCUUGACGUUAGCGACAGAAGAAGCACCGG